UUUCUGUGUGUUAUCAGCCCGGGAGCCACCGGCUCAUAUGACGGUUAUUUUGGAGAAUAUUAGAUUUGGCCUCGUUUUCAAAACCUGAAGGGGCGGCCGUCCCAAAUAUGGCGGGAGAAGCAGGCAUAGAGACAGGUAAAAAAUUUAGAUAGGAACCUAACCUGUAACUUACCGAUUUUCUACAUUUCCGACAGUGACCUAAAGUGUUGACAGUUCAAAGGCUUGUAUUAUAACAAUUAAGAUGUCAGUGUUACACAGCUGAAUAUACAUGUACAUUCCCAAGUAGCUUGAAGAACAUGAAAGGGACCAGGAUUAAUCAUUUUGCCAUUCCUUGGCAAUUAUGACAGAAGCUCAAGCACCUAUCAUGCAGCCAUAAAUAAAGUUAUUUAAUCCUUUUAAAACUGAAAACAUUCUUUGAAAACUUGGUUACAGUUCUUUCCAAUGAAUGAAAUACAUAAACAUAUUCAUGUAAUAUCAUUAUAAAUGUGGAAGUUUUUAAAGAAGUUUGGCUGUGAAAUCACCACUAUAUGACACUUACAAAAAUAAAUUCAAAUGAAAAUAUAGACUGGUACAGGGCUAAAUGGUAUUAGUGAAAUAUAUUGCUCAUCCCAGGUAAAUUUAUGAAAUUAUAUUAAUUGUUUACAUUGAUCCUGUUUUUAAAAGGAGUAGUGUGUCCUGUGGCUAAAACAGUAUGUUAUGAUCAAGAAGUGUAAAAUAAUUGCCAUAUCAAUGCGUUGCAAAAGUAAAAAAAAAUUUUUGCCACAAAUAUACGUUUUUUUUUGCAUCAGCUUUAACCCCUGUUGGCUGUCACAAUAUUGAUAUUUUUUGUUGAUGAUAUUAUGUUUUAAAUGUCAUAUUAUAGUUGUUCACAUGUAAAAAAAAA